GCAUCUAAAAAAGUCUAGGAAUAAUUUUAAACGCUUAGAUGACACUCUAUUCAUUGGAAUGGAGCCACUAUCAAAUCCUCUAUAAAAUUUAUAACAUAAUAACAUGACUUUUUGAGGAUAUAUGAUUGUCACGAGCUCGUUGAUCCGUAUAGGACAAAAAUUUUCUAUGGGAAUCAUACCCUGUGAUUAGGAUGGGAUAGCAGACUUUGGGAAAAUUUGAAAGCAACUGGAAAAUGUGAAAUUUAGACUUGGUGUCAUUGCCCUUACAUAAUUUAAAGCGAACACAAGAUUUCCAACCCUCUUUGUGGACUCAACAUGUCAACACUUGGUUUGUGUAUGGUAUUGGUGGCUAACUGCUGAGUAGAAAACACAAGGAAUCUUUCCACGAGAAUAGAAUUUUGGGGCCUAUAUGGAAGCUUCCUCCAAAUUUUGUAGUUG
rnacentral:sRNA from 1 species